ensembl:lincRNA
AAAUCAAAAUUUGAUCAUGUAUGUUACAAAAGAUGCUCACAAAUUUCUUUGGGUCUGCUGUAUGUCAACUGCAAUUAUAUCAGCAACUGACACUUGAUUGAAGAUGGCAUUGAUAUAUGACAACAUCAAUUACCAACUGUAUGAAGGCAAGCAUUUUCCUCAGUAGCAUGUUUCCUGGUUGACAAAGAUUUUUGUAGUUGUCAGCUAAACUGGUCUUGAGAAAUCUUCCAUGCAGAGCUUGUACUUGGCCACAAGUGGCCUUUAUGCUUUGUUUUUGUGUCACUUUUUAGACCAGUGGUUCCUAUCUAAUUUUCUAAUGUCACCACAGUUAAGAAAAAAGACUUGAGCAAACAAGAACAGGUGUGAUGCUAUCUUCACAAUUUCUUCCUUUCUGUCACUGCAGGUGGAGUCCACAGCCACUUGGAGACUGUAUGCAUUUCCAACUCACAUACUGAGCAAAAUUCCAAGUGCUGAGAUGAUUGGACUUUCUUGCUUGUUUCUGUUUGGAAAGUCACUCUGAUUCCAGCUUCUUGCUGGAAAAGAGCCUUGGUAGUGUGGUAAAAGUACUUGACCUUCCCAGGAAGAAUUAUGGCCAUCUACAAUUGUUGCCAGAAGCAACUAUGUCAUUUUGGUGAUGUGUUUCUCUGCCUAAGGUUUGUUGCAGGUGGACAAAACCAAGACCAAAGAUGGUAUGUACUCUGGAGUCAUGAAUUUACUGAUUAUGUGAUGAGAAAGACAGACAGGAGAGCCACUCUGAUUUCAGCUUUCUCUUGUGAAUGGGAGCCAGGCUGUGGUGUCACUUGGAACCCUAUGAUGGCAUUGUCACCUCCAGAGAGUUCAAAUGAGGAGGACACAUCAGAUGCCCAAUGACCAAAAUCUGACCAACACAACUAAGUAGGAUUUUGAUACAUGGACCCCAGUUUGCCAGAGAGAAAGACAGCCUGGUGAGUGGAUCCAGAGUUACCAAGAGCCCUGAGGUGGGAAAGUCACACUCUGUCACACCUGAGGCAGGAACAGAGGCUUUUGCUGUCCAGGAGACUAGUGGUGGCCUGUCCUGUGUGGACUGCCUGGUUACAUAACCGCCCAACAGGACUCAAUUAUCCCCUCUUGGUUUUCCAUGGUUCCAGCCAGCAGUGACAGCCACAGCAAUGAUACCCAAUACCGGUAAGUGCUCUGCUGAGUUCUUCCUAUUUCUGGGACACAAUAUCUGACACCCCCAAUUUAAAGGAGCUUAAUUUUGUUCAUGUUUUAAGGGGAUUCAGUCCUUGGUCACAGAGAUAUGGCCAGAGGGUGUGGUAGAGCAAAACUGCUCGGUUUGUGGAAGUUGGGAAACAAACCAGGGGAACAGUGCUGAGUAGAAGGAGAGAGGAACCAGAGAAAGUCUCUAGAGCACACCUCCAUGACAUGCCCAGACACAGCCAGAAGUGUGUGUCUUCUGGGGACAGUCUGGGGGAUCCACCAACCCCCCAGGUGGAUCCUGAAUCAGUCAAGUUCUCUCCCCACCUGUCUUCCAACCCCUCAAAACAGCUUACCACAUGAACACUGUUAUUGUGCCUGCUCUACAUAUGAGGAAACUAAGGUCCAGGCAGGCAAAGCAAACUGUCCCAGAUCACACAGCUAGUGUGAGUCUUGCUAAGCCACUCUCAUAGUGCU